rnacentral:rRNA from 1 species
ACGAACGCUGGCGGCGUGCCUAAUACAUGCAAGUAGAACGCUGAAGAGAGGAGCUUGCUCUUCUUGGAUGAGUUGCGAACGGGUGAGUAACGCGUAGGUAACCUGCCUUGUAGCGGGGGAUAACUAUUGGAAACGAUAGCUAAUACCGCAUAACAAUGGAUGACACAUGUCAUUUAUUUGAAAGGGGCAAUUGCUCCACUACAAGAUGGACCUGCGUUGUAUUAGCUAGUAGGUGAGGUAACGGCUCACCUAGGCGACGAUACAUAGCCGACCUGAGAGGGUGAUCGGCCACACUGGGACUGAGACACGGCCCAGACUCCUACGGGAGGCAGCAGUAGGGAAUCUUCGGCAAAGGGGGCAACCCUGACCGAGCAACGCCGCGUGAGUGAAGAAGGUUUUCGGAUCGUAAAGCUCUGUUGUAAGUCAAGAACGAGUGUGAGAGUGGAAAGUUCACACUGUGACGGUAGCUUACCAGAAAGGGACGGCUAACUACGUGCCAGCAGCCGCGGUAAUACGUAGGUCCCGAGCGUUGUCCGGAUUUAUUGGGCGUAAAGCGAGCGCAGGCGGUUUGAUAAGUCUGAAGUUAAAGGCUGUGGCUCAACCAUAGUUCGCUUUGGAAACUGUCAAACUUGAGUGCAGAAGGGGAGAGUGGAAUUCCAUGUGUAGCGGUGAAAUGCGUAGAUAUAUGGAGGAACACCGGUGGCGAAAGCGGCUCUCUGGUCUGUAACUGACGCUGAGGCUCGAAAGCGUGGGGAGCGAACAGGAUUAGAUACCCUGGUAGUCCACGCCGUAAACGAUGAGUGCUAGGUGUUGGAUCCUUUCCGGGAUUCAGUGCCGCAGCUAACGCAUUAAGCACUCCGCCUGGGGAGUACGACCGCAAGGUUGAAACUCAAAGGAAUUGACGGGGGCCCGCACAAGCGGUGGAGCAUGUGGUUUAAUUCGAAGCAACGCGAAGAACCUUACCAGGUCUUGACAUCCCGAUGCUAUUUCUAGAGAUAGAAAGUUACUUCGGUACAUCGGUGACAGGUGGUGCAUGGUUGUCGUCAGCUCGUGUCGUGAGAUGUUGGGUUAAGUCCCGCAACGAGCGCAACCCCUAUUGUUAGUUGCCAUCAUUCAGUUGGGCACUCUAGCGAGACUGCCGGUAAUAAACCGGAGGAAGGUGGGGAUGACGUCAAAUCAUCAUGCCCCUUAUGACCUGGGCUACACACGUGCUACAAUGGUUGGUACAACGAGUUGCGAGUCGGUGACGGCAAGCUAAUCUCUUAAAGCCAAUCUCAGUUCGGAUUGUAGGCUGCAACUCGCCUACAUGAAGUCGGAAUCGCUAGUAAUCGCGGAUCAGCACGCCGCGGUGAAUACGUUCCCGGGCCUUGUACACACCGCCCGUCACACCACGAGAGUUUGUAACACCCGAAGUCGGUGAGGUAACCUUUUGGAGCCAGCCGCCUAAGGUGGGAUAGAUGAUUGGGGUG